GCGGCAGUAGCCUUAAUAUGGCAGAGGCACUGAUCUUUGAUCAGAAGUCCCGGUUCGAUUCCGGGCUGUCGAG
rnacentral:tRNA from 1 species